CACUUAGCCGUACCCCUCUGGACCUAAUCAAUUUCUUCUGAUCUUGGAAACUAAUCUUGGUUGGUGAUGGUUGGUCCUUGGAUUUGAGACCGGCUGGGUCUACCGAUGCUGGAGUGA
rnacentral:rRNA from 1 species